GAUGAACGCUGGCGGCACGCUUAACACAUGCAAGUCGAGCGAAGGGAAAGGUGCUUGCACCUUGAACUUAGCGGCGGACGGGUGAGUAACACGUGGGUAACCUACCUCAUACAGGGGGAUAACGUAUAGAAAUGUACGCUAAUACCGCAUAAGCCUACAGAAUGGCAUCAUUCAGUAGGAAAAACUCCGGUGGUAUGAGAUGGGCCCGCGACUGAUUAGCUAGUUGGAGAGGUAACGGCUCACCAAGGCGACGAUCAGUAGCCGGUCUGAGAGGAUGGACAGCCACAUUGGGACUGAGACACGGACCAGACUCCUACGGGAGGCAGCAGUGGGGAAUAUUGCACAAUGGGGGAAACCCUGAUGCAGCGAUGCCGCGUGAAGGAUGAAGAAUUUCGGUUCGUAAACUUCUAUCAGCAAGGAAGAAUCAAGACAGUACUUGACUAAGCAGUCCCGGCUAACUACGUGCCAGCAGCCGCCGUAAUAC
rnacentral:rRNA from 1 species